GAUGAACGCUGGCGGCGUGCCUAAUACAUGCAAGUCGAGCGAACAGACGAGGAGCUUGCUCCUCUGACGUUAGCGGCGGACGGGUGAGUAACACGUGGAUAACCUACCUAUAAGACUGGGAUAACUUCGGGAAACCGGAGCUAAUACCGGAUAAUAUAUUGAACCGCAUGGUUCAAUAGUGAAAGACGGUUUUGCUGUCACUUAUAGAUGGAUCCGCGCCGCAUUAGCUAGUUGGUAAGGUAACGGCUUACCAAGGCAACGAUGCGUAGCCGACCUGAGAGGGUGAUCGGCCACACUGGAACUGAGACACGGUCCAGACUCCUACGGGAGGCAGCAGUAGGGAAUCUUCCGCAAUGGGCGAAAGCCUGACGGAGCUACGCCGCGUGAGUGAUGAAGGUCUUCGUAUCGUAAAACUCUGUUAUUAGGGAAGAACAAAUGUGUAAGUAACUAUGCACGUCUUGACGGUACCUAAUCAGAAAGCCACGGCUAACUACGUG
rnacentral:rRNA from 1 species